AGCAGUCGCCGCGGUAAUACGAGGGGUGCAAGCGUUAUUCGGAUUGAUUGGGUGUAAAGGGUGUGCAGACGGCUUAUUAAGUCACUUGUUAAAUUCUUCGGCCUAACUGAAGGUCUGCAAGUGAUACUGAUGAGCUAGAGGGUGGAAGAGAGAAGUGGAAUUCUCGGAGUAGCGGUAAAAUGCGUAGAUCUCGAGAGGAACACCAAUGGCGAAGGCAGCUUCUUGGUCCAUUCCUGACGUUCAUACACGAAAGCGUGGGGAGCGAACAGGAUUAGAUACCCCAGUAGUCCCUGUCUCUUAUAC
rnacentral:rRNA from 1 species